GCCUGCGUGGCUCAGUCAGUUAAGUGUCUGACUUUGGCUCAGGUAAUGAUCUCACGGUUUGUGGGUUCGAGCCCCACGUCAGGCU
rnacentral:tRNA from 1 species